AAGUCGUAACAAGGUUUCCGUAGGUGACCUGCGGAAGGAUCAUUAUCAAUUUAACAGUUCGUGGGAUGGCGCAAUCCAUCUCACGCCUGUUUCAACCCUUUGUCUUUUGCGUACUGUAUGUUUCCUCGGCGGUUCGCCCGCCGAUAGGACACUUCAAAACCUUUUGUAAUUGCAAUCAGCGUCAGAAAAACUAUAAUAGUUACAACUUUCAACAACGGAUCUCUUGGUUCUGGCAUCGAUGAAGAACGCAGCGAAAUGCGAAAAGUAGUGUGAAUUGCAGAAUUCAGUGAAUCAUCGAAUCUCUGAACGCACAUUGCGCCCCUUGGUAUUCCAUGGGGCAUGCCUGUUCGAGCGUCAUUUGUACCCUCAAGCUCUGCUUGGUGUUGGGUGUUUGUCCCGCCUUGCGCGUGGACUCGCCUUAAAGUCAUUGGCAGCCGGAAUAAUUCUGGGAACGCAGCACAACUGCAGCCUCCCAUUUUACGCCGAGCGUCCAGUAAGCCUUUUUUCAACGUUUGACCUCGGAUCAGGUAGGGAUACCCCGCUGAACUUAA
rnacentral:rRNA from 1 species